rnacentral:rRNA from 1 species
AUGGAGACAGAGACGGCGAUGGAGGCCGGCGACGACCCUGCGUUCGUCGCGGAGGGCACGGUCACCUGCAUCAGGCUCGCCGUCGCCUCCAACCAGGAGAUCGUGAGGGCGCAGCCGAUGAAGGAGGAGUUCCCGGUGACGCACCCGAGCCAGCUGGCCGGGAACCCCGCGCUGGGCCUGCCGCUGCAGCUUGGCCACUGCGACUCCUGCGGCGCCACCGACCUCGCCAAGUGCCAAGGUCAUUUCGGGUUCAUCAAACUGCCCGUAUCCGUCUACCACCCGAGCCAUAUCUCCGAGCUGACGAAGAUACUCAACAUGAUCUGCUUCAGCUGCCUCCAGUUCAAGAACUCCAAGAUCUUAACUGAAUCGUUCAAAGGUUGCUGCUGCGAUCUCCCUCCAAUACAUGUUGCAAAAGUCAAGAAAUCCAAUGGAGCCCUUACCUUGGAGCUGAGAGUGCCAUCCAGGAAAGAACUGGAAGAGGGAUUUUGGAGCUUCCUCGAUCAAUUUGGCUUUCACACGAAGGGCAGCUCUCACUACCGUCGUUUAUUCGCCGAAGAGGUUCAGAAAAUAAUGGAGAAGAUCUCUGAAAAAACAAGAAGCCAGAUUGCUGCUAAGGGAUAUAUUCUUCAGGAUGGAUUUGUGAUGAGCAAUCUCCCUGUUCCACCAAACUGCCUCCGCGCUUACAAUGUUUUAGAUGAAACACUCAUGUGCUCUCCGGAUGCCUCCACAAACUUGCUGAGGAAAAUCGUACUCAACGUACAUGGAAUCAACAGCUCAAGGGUUGGCCCCCCAACCUUCCAAGAACAUGAGGUGGAAGCAGAUGAUCUUCAGGUUGCCAUUGCUGACUACAUCAAGCAUGCAGGAACAGCAAGGGGUCCUCAAGAUAUCACCUUUAAAAGUCUGCCUGCAACAAAACAAUGGCAGCAAAAGAUGAAGUCGCUAUGUAUCAGCAAGAGCUCAAGCUUCUCAUGCCGUGGUGUGAUCACAGGUGACCCAUACAUUCCUAUGAAUGUGGUAGGAGUGCCUGAUGAAGUAGCAAGGCGAAUGUCGGUACAAGAGCGUGUGACAGACUACAACAUUGCUCAGCUGCAAGGCAUGAUGGAUAGAGGUCUUUGCCUGACACAUGAAGAUGCUAAUUCUAUCACGCACUCCUUGGAUGUGGGGAAAGAAAAUAAGAAACGGACCAUACUAAAGGUUGGUGAGCCGGUCAACCGGAGAAUUCUGGAUGGAGAUGCGGUAUUUGUCAACAGGCCACCAAGCACCGACAAGCACUCGGUCCAAGCAAUGUAUGUCCGUGUACAUACUGAUCACACCAUCAAGAUCAACCCACUCAUAUGUGGACCACUUGGGGCAGAUUUCGAUGGCGACUGUGUCCACAUUUUCUUCCCAAGGUCACUGUCAGCAAGGGCUGAAGCUAUAGAGCUCUUCACAGUGGAGAAGCAGCUGGUCAGCUCUCACAAUGCAAAGCUGAAUUUUCAGCUCAAGAAUGAUUGCUUACUAGCUUUAAAGAAAAUGUCUGCUAGAAAGUAUUCCAGAAGGGAGGCCAAUGAACUUUUAAAUGCAAUGUUCACGGCAGGGUUGAUUCCCAAGAAGCGACUAUCAGGUGGACCAGAGUGGAGUUUCGCUCAGAUUCUAGAGACGGUACUACCACAGGAAAACAAAAUAUUAAUCAGAGACUUGGUUGCUGGCACUAUUACCAUCUCAUCAGUUCUCCAUAGAAUUUCUAAAUCUUCUACAGCCCCUACUAAUGGAAUCAUAACACUUGAUCUUGACAAGUUACGGAAACCAAUUGUGGACUUCAUUACUUCUUCUGACAUUCGCUUCUUGGUUGACCAAAAGAGAGAUUCAGCCAUGACCAAAGUAGUGGAGCAGAUUGGUUUCUUGGGACAUCAGCUGCAGCGCAACGGAAGAUUAUAUUCUGGCAGCUUGGUAGAGGAUUGCCUAUCCAAGUCGCUAAGCAAGUGUGGCAGCAGCACCAAUGGUUGCCAUCCUUUGGAGGCACAUGGUUUUGUCAGGAACUCAUUUUGCAAUGGACUGAACCCAUAUGAGGACCUACUUCAUUCAAUAUCUGCAAGGGAGAAGACAAUACGCGCAUCUAAAGGACUUGUGGAGCCAGGCGUUCUCUUCAAGAACAUGAUGGCAAUGCUCCGGGAUGUUGUAGCAUGCUAUGAUGGAACCAUAAGAAACUUGUGCAGAAAUUCAGUUAUUAAGUUUGACUCGACAGAUUCAUCCAGUUCUGUGACACCAGGAGAUCCUGUUGGUAUCUUGGCAGCCACUGCGGUUACAAAUGCUGCAUACAAGGCAGUGUUAGACCCAAAUCAGAACAACAUGGCCUCAUGGGACUCAAUGAAGGAAGUACUACUCACAAGAGCUAGCUCUCGAAAUGAAAAUGACCAAAAAAUAAUUAUGUAUCUGAGCAAAUGCUCCUGUGGGGAUAAUUUUUGCAUGGAGAGAGCAUCACUCGCAGUUCAAGCCUGCUUAAAGAGGACCGAAGUAGAAGACUGUGCUACUGAGAUCUCAAUCCAUUAUCAACAACAAAAUAUUCAACCAAAACAUGGUCUUGUUGGCCACAUUCACCUUGACAAGAAGCAACUGGAUGAAAUGAACAUAAGUAUGGAAGGUAUUCUUCAGAAAUGCCAGAAAGAAAUAUAUAGAUGCAGAAAGAAUAAGGGGCAGGUGAAUCAACUUAUGAAGAGAGUUGUGAUCUCAAGUGAAUGUAUGUGCUACCAGGAUGCAGAUGACGAGGAACAGGUCUCUUGUUUGCAGUUUUUCCUAACUGAAAGUGUCACCACACGAAUGGAUGAAUCUUCUGCGCGAGUUGUCCAGUUGAUGGCCAAUACCAUUUCUCCUAUACUCUUGGACACAAUCAUAAAAGGAGAUCCACGAGUUCAGGAGGUGAACAUAAUAUGGGUUGAACCACAAGACACGUGUUGGGUCCAGAACUCCGGUAUAGAACAGAAGGGCGAACUGGCGCUGGUAAUCACAAUGGAUAAAAACUCAACUGGGGAGAGUGGUGAUGUCUGGGGAACAGCAAUGGAUGCUUGCACCCCUGUGAUGGAUCUGAUCGACACUACCAGGUCUGUGCCCUACAGCAUCCAACGAGUUCAGGAAGGGUUUGGAAUUUCCUCAGCCUUCGGUCGAGUCACACAGCACCUUUCCAAGGCAGUUGGAAUGGUUACAAAAUCAGUUCUCGAAGAACACCUGACAACUGUUGCAAGCAGCAUGACCUGCACAGGUAACUUGCAUGGCUUCAACAGCUAUGGUUACAAGGCCACAUUCAGGUCCCUCAAGAUUCAGGCACCCUUCAUGAAGGCUACACUCGCUUCAGCAGGCAAUGAGAACCUUGGAGGGUAUGGUUUGUAUGAAUACCUCACAGAGGUAGAAACAACAAGAGCCGCUGAAGAUAAUAUGAUUGUUCCAUACGGUUCCUGCUUGUAUGAUGUUGACAACCUUGAAGAAGAUGGAAUCGAAGAGGAUGAAGUCUUAUGUUUGGGAGGAAACAGUCCAAUCACUUGGACAGACAGGCCAAAAGCAAAUCUCCUGCUGCAUGAUCUUCAAGGUUGGAGGGCUGAACAAGGGCACCAAAAAGUGCCAGUUGCAAAUGGGCAACAUGGUAAACAUGUCGCCACAGAGUCAAGUGGCACUAGUGGAUGGAACCAGAGAAGUUCUACCACGAAAGUUUAUCAGAGAAGGCAACGUAAUAGUAAUUGGAGCUCAGAUGCAACACAGCAAGAUGGUAACCCGAGUUGGAACAAAGCAUAUGUGGCAGGCCCAAGCAACUUUGCCAUUACAGGGCCAUCAAGUGGUGCUAGUGGAUGGAACCAGAGCAGUUCUACCACGAAAGUUUAUAAGAGAAGGCAAUUUGAUAGUAAUUGGAGCUCAGAUGCAACACAACAAGAUGGUAACCCAAGUUGGAAGAAAGCAAAUGUGGCAGGCCAGGGCAACUUUGCCAUUACAGGGCCAUCUAGCUCUGGCGGAUGGAGUAGAAAGACCAAUAAUCUUGCUAGAGGUCGAGGUGGUGGUAGAGGUGCAAUCUGGAAAUCAGAGGGAUCACACCGUGGAGGUAACAGUAGGUGGAAAGCCCAAAGAGCCAAUACCACAAGCGCCCCGAACUUCCAAAAUUCAGGACCAUCCAACUUUGGUGGACGGAACAUCAAGACCGGCAAUCUUGGCCCAUGCCGUGGCAGAGGACCAGCAUGGAGAUCAAACGGACCAAACCGGGGAGGUGGCAAUAGUGGACAAAGAGGGAGUUCAAAUUUUACACUAGCGGAACAGCAGAUACAUGCACAAGUUGAUCCAAUCAUGAAAGAAGUAAAGAGGAUCAUCCGUGAAUCAAGGGAUGGCAUCAAGCUUUCUGGAGAUAAUGAGAGGUUCAUUGUUGAAAAUAUUCUCAUGUACCACCCAGAGAAGGAAAAGAAGAUGGCAGGGAAUAACAAUUACAUAAUGGUUGCUAAGCAUCAAAAGUUCUAUAGCUCCAGGUGCUUGUACGUCGCAUCCUCAGAUGGUCCUCCUACAGAUUUCUCCUACAAGAAGUGCCUAGAGAACAUGAUCAGGAUUCACUACCCACGUGAUGCAAGUUCAUUCUGCAGAAAGUACUUCCAGUGA